UAUGUACUUUCUCCGUCCGGAAAUACUUGUCCUAAAAAUGCAUAUGAUGGAUGUAUCUAUAAUUAAAAUAAGUCUAGAUACAUUCAUCUCUAGGACAAGUAUUUCCAGACCGAGGUAGUAUUAU
rfam:Hordeum vulgare subsp. vulgare, WGS project CAJW01000000 data, contig: morex_contig_55158